rnacentral:rRNA from 1 species
GACGAACGCUGGCGGCGUGCUUAACACAUGCAAGUCGAACGGAAAGGCCCUGCUUUUGUGGGGUGCUCGAGUGGCGAACGGGUGAGUAACACGUGAGUAACCUGCCCUUGACUUUGGGAUAACUUCAGGAAACUGGGGCUAAUACCUGAUAGGAGCUCCUGCUGCAUGGUGGGGGUUGGAAAGUUUCGGCGGUUGGGGAUGGACUCGCGGCUUAUCAGCUUGUUGGUGGGGUAGUGGCUUACCAAGGCUUUGACGGGUAGCCGGCCUGAGAGGGUGACCGGCCACAUUGGGCCUGAGAUACGGCCCAGACUCCUACGGGAGGCAGCAGUGGGGAAUAUUGCACAAUGGGCGGAAGCCUGAUGCAGCAACGCCGCGUGCGGGAUGACGGCCUUCGGGUUGUAAACCGCUUUCGCCUGUGACGAAGCGUGAGUGACGGUAAUGGGUAAAGAAGCACCGGCUAACUACGUG